rnacentral:rRNA from 1 species
UUCCUACGGGAGGCAGCAGUAGGGAAUCUUCCACAAUGGACGAAAGUCUGAUGGAGCAACGCCGCGUGAGUGAAGAAGGGUUUCGGCUCGUUAAACUCUGCUGGUAGUGAAGAAAGAUAGAGGGAGCAAUUGGCCUUUAUUUGACGGUAAUUACUUAGAAAGACACGGCUAACUACGUGCCAGCAGCCGCGGUAAUAAGUAGGUGGCAAGCGUUGUCCGGAUUUAUUGGGAGUAAA